GGUAUGAAAUUGUUACAUAUAUAUGUAAAAAAGUAGGGAUAGAAUAUAGAAGAUAGAUCUAUGCCUGAUAUUGCAUUGCACCAGCUUUUCCUGGUUGGACAAUCUAAGAUGUGACUGCUCAGCUACAGAUCAGAAAACAGAUGCUGUUGACAGAGAGAUGAAUCAACAAAAGGAAACAUGGAUCUCAGACACUGCUACCUGCACCUUCUAACAAGGCAUUUAAAUUCUUAUCACUUUAUUAAUUUGAACCUAUUCUUGGAGCAAUUAGAUUUGUAGAUUUCAUGCUUGUUGCAGAUCCGACAUAUAACAUGAAAGAUAGCAUAAAUGGUCCAUCAUGGUUUUUUAGUCCCGUGAUUUGUGUGCUACCCAGUUGAGAAAAAUCUGAUACAAUAUUGCAAGUGUUCA